rnacentral:rRNA from 1 species
UACGAAGGGGGCUAGCGUUGCUCGGAAUCACUGGGCGUAAAGCGCACGUAGGCGGAUUCCUAAGUCGGUGGUGAAAUCCUGGAGCUCAACUCCAGAACUGCCUUUGAUACUGGCGAUCUUGAGUCCGGGAGAGGUGAGUGGAACUGCGAGUGUAGAGGUGAAAUUCGUAGAUAUUCGCAAGAACACCAGUGGCGAAGGCGGCUCACUGGCCCGGUACUGACGCUGAGGUGCGAAAGCGUGGGGAGCAAACAGG